rnacentral:rRNA from 1 species
CCUACGGGCGACAGCAGUGGGGGAUAUUGCACAAUGGGGGGAACCCUGAUGCAGCGACGCCGCGUGGGUGAAGAAGCGCCUCGGCGCGUAAAGCCCUGUCAGCAGGGAAGAAAAUGACGUUACCUGAAGAAGAAGCCCCGGCUAACUACUUGCCAGCAGCCGCGGUAAUACGUAGGGGGCAAGCGUUAUCCGGAUUUACUGGGUGGAAAGGUGGCGCAGACGGCGAUGCAAGCCAGGCGUGAAAGCCCUGGGCCCAACCCCGGGACGGAUCUUGGAACUGCGUGGCUGGAGUGCAGGAGAGGAAGGUGGAAUUCCUGGGGUAGCGGUGAAAUGCGUAGAGAUCAGGAGGAACACCGGUGGCGAAGGCGGCCUGCUGGAAUGCAACUGACGUUGAGGCCCGAAAGCGUGGGGAGCAAACAGGAUUAGAUACCCGUGUAGUC